UACGUAGGGGGCAAGCGUUGUCCGGAUUUAUUGGGCGUAAAGAGCUCGUAGGCGGUUUGUCGCGUCUGCCGUGAAAGUCCGGGGCUCAACUCCGGAUCUGCGGUGGGUACGGGCAGACUAGAGUGAUGUAGGGGAGACUGGAAUUCCUGGUGUAGCGGUGAAAUGCGCAGAUAUCGGGAGGAACACCGGUGGCGAAGGCGGUUCUCUGGGCCUUACCUGACGCUGAGGAGCGAAAGCGUGGGGAGCGAACAGG
rnacentral:rRNA from 1 species